UAACACAAUACAUGUUCCUCUGGACAGACGCACGGACACCUGCAGGGACCCAUGGGGAGCCAAGUGAACUUUGGAAUACUCUGUGACAUCUCAGAUCUCCCUUGAGAGGACCCAGGAGAUGGAAGAAAAUAGCAGGAAUCCUAUGAGCAGAAAAGCAACCACUUUCUGGAAGGAUCCAAGGGUUGGCAUGCCUGAUGUGGAGGAAAACCUGCUCAUUUAUCAGGGAAUAAGAGAAAACUUCUAAGAAUACUGAGAAAACAGGGGCGCCUGGGUGGUUCAGUCGUUAAGCGUCUGCCUAAGGCUCAGCUCAUGAUCCCAGAAUCCUGGGAUGGAGGCCUGCAUCGAGCUCCC